GAUGAAGAACGCAGCGAAAUGCGAUAAGUAAUGUGAAUUGCAGAAUUCAGUGAAUCAUCGAAUCUUUGAACGCACAUUGCGCCCGCCAGUAUUCUGGCGGGCAUGCCUGUUCGAGCGUCAUUUCAACCAUCAAGCCCCCGGGCUUGUGUUGGGGACCUGCGGCUGCCGCAGGCCCUGAAAAGCAGUGGCGGGCUCGCUGUCACACCGAGCGUAGUAGAUUUUAUCUCGCUCAGGGCGUGCUGCGGGUUCCGGCCGUUAAACCACCUUCAUAACCCAAGGUUGACCUCGGAUCAGGUAGGAAGACCCGCUGAACUUAAGCAUAUCAAGCGGAGGA
rnacentral:misc_RNA from 1 species